UACGUAGGGACCAAGCGUUGUCCGGAAUCAUUGGGCGUAAAGCGCGCGUAGGUGGCCAUUUAAGUCCGCUGUGAAAGUCAGAGGCUCAACCUUUGAAAGCCGGUGGAUACUGGAUGGCUAGAGUACGGAAGAGGCGAGUGGAAUUCCUGGUGUAGCGGUGGAAUGCGCAGAUAUCAGGAGGAACACCAAUAGCGAAGGCAGCUCGCUGGGACGUUACUGACACUAAGGCGCGAAAGCGUGGGGAGCGGACAGG
rnacentral:rRNA from 1 species